rnacentral:rRNA from 1 species
CCUACGGGAUGCAGCAGUGGGGAAUAUUGCACAAUGGGGGAAACCCUGAUGCAGCCAUGCCGCGUGUGUGAAGAAGGCCUUCGGGUUGUAAAGCACUUUCAGUUGUGAGGAAAAGUGAGUAGUUAAUACCUGCUCACCGUGACGUUAGCAACAGAAGAAGCACCGGCUAACUCCGUGCCAGCAGCCGCGGUAAUACGGAGGGUGCGAGCGUUAAUCGGAAUUACUGGGCGUAAAGCGCACGCAGGCGGUUUGUUAAGCUAGAUGUGAAAGCCCCGGGCUCAACCUGGGACGGUCAUUUAGAACUGGCAGACUAGAGUCUUGGAGAGGGGAGUGGAAUUCCAGGUGUAGCGGUGAAAUGCGUAGAUAUCUGGAGGAACAUCAGUGGCGAAGGCGACUCCCUGGCCAAAGACUGACGCUCAUGUGCGAAAGUGUGGGUAGCGAACAGGAUUAGAUACCCGAGUAGUC